UGGAUUAUACUCUGUCCACUGUUCACACAAUAUUAAUAUGCUCAUAUGGUACCUAAUCGUUCCUUGUAAAUUAAUGAGAAUGAUGAUCAUUAUUCCAAUGAAAUGUGCAUAUUUUAAUAAUUUUUACCGCUCGUUAGAAUUAAUGAUCUUUGAAUCAUGUUAAAACAGAUAGAACGGAAAUAGAGUGAAUAUAAGUAUUAUUAAAUUUAAUUUCAUCCAAUUAAUAUACUAUUUAAUAUACAUAGGGUAACAAUGGUAACAUACAUACUAGGUUUUCGCAUUUAUUGAAUUUUAUAUUAUAGAGAUCCGUUUAUUAAAGUUAUAGGGAAUGUGUUAUAAUCAUAGACGUAAUAUUAAAUUAGCUACGUCCAUGAUUUUAACGUAAUUUAUUCAAGACCGAAAAAAUUAAACAGAUUCAGUAUCAAACCUAGGCGAAAUAAUUUAUAAUCUGUUGUCAUCUGUCAAUCAAUCCUCGUUAUUUGACAUAAUUGACAGAUGACACAUUAUUUUGACAACCGGUUUUUGAACGAGUGUAAAAUAGAAUAAAAAGAGCUAAAAAAUAUC